rnacentral:rRNA from 1 species
UACGUAGGGGGCGAGCGUUAUCCGGAAUUACUGGGUGUAAAGGGAGCGUAGACGGCGAGGUAAGCCUGAGGUGGAAGCCCGCGGCCCAACCGCGGAACUGCUUUGGGAACUGUUUUGCUGGAGUAUGGGAGGGGUAAGCGGAAUUCCUGGUGUAGCGGUGAAAUGCGUAGAUAUCAGGAGGAACACCGGUGGCGAAGGCGGCUUACUGGACCAUAACUGACGUUGAGGCUCGAAAGCGUGGGGAGCGAACAGG